rnacentral:rRNA from 1 species
GACGAACGCUGGCGGCGUGCCUAAUACAUGCAAGUCGAACGCACGAAGUUGAAGAGCUUGCUCUUUAACCAAGUGAGUGGCGGACGGGUGAGUAACACGUGGGUAACCUGCCCAUUAGAGGGGGAUAACAUUCGGAAACGGAUGCUAAUACCGCAUAGUUUCAGGAAUCGCAUGAUUCUUGAAGGAAAGGUGGCUUCGGCUACCACUAAUGGAUGGACCCGCGGCGUAUUAGCUAGUUGGUGAGGUAAUGGCUCACCAAGGCAAUGAUACGUAGCCGACCUGAGAGGGUGAUCGGCCACACUGGGACUGAGACACGGCCCAGACUCCUACGGGAGGCAGCAGUAGGGAAUCUUCCGCAAUGGACGAAAGUCUGACGGAGCAACGCCGCGUGAGUGAAGAAGGUUUUCGGAUCGUAAAACUCUGUUGUUAAAGAAGAACAAGGAUGAGAGUAACUGCUCAUCCCCUGACGGUAUUUAACCAGAAAGCCACGGCUAACUACGUGCCAGCAGCCGCGGUAAUACGUAGGUGGCAAGCGUUGUCCGGAUUUAUUGGGCGUAAAGCGAGCGCAGGCGGUUCUUUAAGUCUGAUGUGAAAGCCCCCGGCUCAACCGGGGAGGGUCAUUGGAAACUGGAGAACUUGAGUGCAGAAGAGGAGAGUGGAAUUCCACGUGUAGCGGUGAAAAUGCGUAGAUAUGUGGAGGAACACCAGUGGCGAAGGCGACUCUCUGGUCUGUAACUGACGCUGAGGCUCGAAAGCGUGGGGGAGCAAACAGG